AGGACCUACUGUUUUUUGAAAGGCAUAAACAAGAACCAAGGAACUGCAGUCCAAAGGGCAUGAAAGCACUUGCCCCAAUUUGAGGCUACUGUGCUUAGAGCGGAGCUCUCCAGAACUCUUUGUAGCUAAGUGCAUGGGUUUCACGUGUGCAAUAGAAAAAUCACGAGUGCACAUCUCACAAGAGCUGGUUUUAAGAAGACACUGUCACGAAGGUUCCCGGCGAGGAGCGUCGCCAGAGAUGCUGCGUAGCGUGCCCGACCCUGCAUUUCUCUCCUCUCCUGCAGAGACCUCCUGGAACAGAUCCCCGCGUGCCCCGCGCCUGCACGCCUGCGCACGCCCACUGGGGCGGGGCUCUCAGGCACGCGGACCGCCGUCCUCCAACAGCUCCUGGCGUCUGUUGGGGCAGUUGGCUUGGCUCCGGAAGACAGGAGCGCAUGCGCGAGCGCGGAGGUUGGGGCCCCAACGGCUGUCCGGCGGGGGCGGGGCCUGUCAUGGCCGCCUCUGGAGUCAAUUCCAGGAACCCUGAGUCUGAUACUCUCAGAUCAUGACGGAAUUGCAAGCAUAGUUUGGCUGGUGAUGCAAGAGUUCAGCAAAAAUCAACGAAAGGAUUAGGGAGUGCUGAUUCAGGUUAUUAAGGCUUUGCUUGAUGACACACCACUGCAGGUGCGUAUGGGGCUUAAGGUAGUUUAUGUUUGUAUUCUGGGGUUGUGAAAGUACUGUGUGGGUGUGUUUGUAGUGUGAAUUACAUAUAUGUGCGUUUGUGGCUUGUUGGAGUUCAGUGUCUGUAUUUAAGGAUAUUAAGAAGUUACAUCCUUGUUUUUGGCAAUUGGGGAGUUGUGGGUGUUUAUGUGUAUCUGGAAGUGUCAUGUUGUAUAUGCCUAUUUGUAGAUCUUCCAGGGAUUGUAGGACCUCAUGGGCAGUGGGUGGUUUUAUGUAUAUCAUUAUUUGGGAGUCUAUUGGGAAUGUGUUUCCAUGAAUUCCUGGCGUGAAGUUUAUUUGUGUAUUUAUGGAGUUGGUGAGAAUCUGAGUAGUGUAUUUGUAUUUGAAAUAUGUUAAUAUAAAUGUUUCAGACAUUACAUGAAAUUUCUAAAAAUCUUAUAUUUGUAUUUGUAUGGAAAUAUGUAUGGAAAUAUGUUAAUAUAAAUGUUUCAGACAUUAAAAAAAAAAAAAGGAAGGAAAUUCUGAUACAUGAUGUAGCAUGGUUGAACCUUGAGGACAUUAUGCUAAGUGAAAUAAGCCAGUCAUAAAAAGGACAGAUACUGUACAAUUCCAUGUGUAUGAAGCAUCUACAGUCAUCAAAUUAUAAAAUCAAAAAGUAGAAUGUGGGGUGCCAGGGGCUGGGGGAAAGGGAAUGGAGAGUUAGUGUUUAAUGGGGAAAGUUUCUGUUUGGAAUGAUGAAAAAGCUCUAGAGAUCUUUUGUACAGCAAUGUGAAUACACUUAACACUACUGAACUGCACACUUAGAAAUGAUUAAGUGGUAAGAAAAAAGAUUACCUACCUAUAUCUAUAUUGAUAGAUCUCUUGUAUCUCAUUGGUCACAGACCUUCUUGGAGAGUAUCUCUGUGACUGUGUCAAUCUGUGUCCAGUCAGAGGGUAGGGACCACACAGUGACCCGAACAGGAUGUCUAAUAGGCCCAGUUAGUAAGCACUGAUGAGACAUAAAAGAAAGCUCCAGAGAACCCAGGGCUGAGGGAGGGCACUCGCGGAGGUCAGCUUGGAAGGAGCUAGGCCUCAGUGGAGAAGGCAUGCCUGAUCCCACUAGAUGUCAGGGAAAUCUGCUGGUUUGUGUGGGCCAGGCUGGUCUGCAGCCACCAUGGCGCAGGCGCUGUGCCUGGUGGCCAGGUACCUAGCAAGCUCAGGGCAUCAGGAUGCAGGUGGGGGCUGAGAGCGGGAAAGCUGAAUCUAGAGGCCUUGGAAAGGUAAUCACCAGGGUGGGGCUGCGAGGUCACAAGGGAAUGUCAUUUGGGGUGCAUGGCUGGGCACCAAAUGUCCUGACCCCCACACCUCAGACCCCCAGGCAUCAGAGCCUCCUCCCCUUUCCACCCCUCCAGUGCCCUGAACUGGGGGAGCCUGACAUUUUGCUCACCAGGAAGGAGAAACGUCCAAGGGUAUUUGGAGCUCAGAGGCAAUGAACUGGUACACUGACCUUGGGAGAAUAAGAGGCCUCCAGUACAGGAUGCCAAAAAAAAUAACUGGUAAAAUAAUAUAAAAUUAUUAUUUUAUCUGAAUUUAUCUGAAUAAAAUUUAAUAAACUGGACUACAUAAAAUGGAAAACUUCUGCUUAUCGAGGAAUGGGCUGCUGAUACACAAAUAGCACUGGUGAACCUCAGAAAUAUUUUGUGAGUGAAAGAAGCCAGACAUAUAAUAAAUGAAUCCGUUUAUUUGUGGUUCCAGAACAGGCAAAGUGAAUUAGAACAGUGGUGGCUUCUGCAGUGGGGGGAGAGGGCUUGACUGCACAGGGGCCAGAGGAAACUUUCUUGGGGACAGCAAUGUUCUAAGACUUGAUAUUCGUGAUGGUCCAUCUAAACAGUUCUCAAAACACAUCAGUCUGGACCUCCAAGAUGAGUGCUUUUUCGGUGUAUGUGAGUUAUAAUUCACUGCUAACAUCUAAAGCAUA